AAAUCCUUUCUAAUCUUCUCUCUCUCUUCCACUCAACCCUCCAUCCUCAUCCUCUCUCUCUCUUUUCCUCUGAUAUCUAGCAGAUCCAUAGUCAAAGAUCUCAACUUUAUACAAAAGCAGAUCCAGUUUUCCAUCAAAAAGGAAUAAGAAAGCAAAUGGAUGGUGAACAGAAAGUUUUCAUCUUGGCUGAAGUGUCCGAGCACAACAAGCGUAAAGACUGUUGCGGCAAGCAUCGAAUCAUGUAUUUAAUAAAGAGGAGGAUAGCGGAGCUUCAUCAGCAGCGACAGCGGCAUCAGCAUCAAAGUAUGAGGACUGGACUAUAAAGAGGAGGAGGAUGGUUGCUGGACCUAUAGGAACCCAGGAGAUGCAAAGAAUCUUUGUAAUCGAUUGGAUUUGUUAAUUUGGGGAUUGUGCGAGUUUUAUUGGAAAAGUUUUAGGUUCAAUUGACUGGUUUCAAAAUUGUUGGAAAUUGAUUAAACAAGAUCUGAUUUUGGAUUUUUGAUGUUCAUUAUUUUCUUGAAGCCACUAGAAAAUCUUUUUGCUA